AUCACCUGGAAAUCUUGUUAAAAUGUUGAUUCUGAUUCAUAGAUCCCGGUAGGGCCUGAGAUUCUGCAUUUAUAACAAGCUCCAAAGAGAUACUGA
rnacentral:pre_miRNA from 1 species